CGGAGUGUGGCUCAGCUUGGUAGAGCGCUUGGUUCGGGACCAAGAGGUCGUGGGUUCGAAUCCCGCUACUCCGA
rnacentral:tRNA from 1 species